CCAUAGCUUCGAAAAAAAUUCACAAAAAUGUGCUUGAUAUGUUGAUUUCAAACCAUACCCCCUCCUUAAUGUUGUUCUGAAGCUAUUUUCUUGUGGCAUUUUUAUAAUCAACUAGUUUUAAUGGGAAAUAAGCCACAAUUUUAUUAAAUGGAAUAUUUUCUAUUUUAACAACGACGCCCGAUUUGGGCGUCAAAACGUUAAUAAAAUCAUUUUUUAGUAAAAUUAUGGCUUAUUUCCCAUUAAAAAUAGUUAACAAAUAUCUUAGAACAUAAAGUACUACUUGAUGUUCUAAGGAAUAUACCAUUCCAAAUGAUGUGACAUUUUUGACAAGUAGUUAUUAAUUAAAUAUGAAAUAUAAAAUUGUACUAUAAAAUAUAACUAAAAUAAAAAUAAAAAAUAUAUAAAUAUAAAAUUUAAGAAUAUUUAACUAUGAACAACUGUCACUGUCAGUCGCAAAAGUGAGGUUGCACCACUUACGUAGCGAAUAGGCCGUUCCAAGAUGCUGUCAAAAUUAAAUCAAUAUGGCUACUGGAAGGCAAACAUUGAAUAUUAUUCUAUCAGGUUCUUAUGGUUUUAGAUCAUUUUAGUUGUUGUACAAAGAUUAAUUUAACAUUUUCUCUGGAAGUAUUAAUUUAGAAAGAUAAUAUGCCUCAUUGGUGUUGUGUUUUGAAGUGUGAAAUGCAAAGUAAUCGUGAUAAAGUUAGCUUUUACCACUUACCAUCAGUGCUACAUUCUAAGCACAAAACUGAACCAAUUUAACUAAAUAAGUUAUAGUUAUCAUCUGAGAGACAACAACAAUGGUAAAAUGCAAUAAAAUAUAAAGAUUUUACUAGCAAAAUGGAAAUUCCCCUGUAAUCAUCUUAUAUCUGGUAAGUUACAACAUUUGAACAUUAACGAUUUUUGAAGAUGUUAACAGUCUAAUCUUGUAGGAAAACCAGCCGACUUAACUGAUAAUAACAAUCCAGAUUGGGUUCCUUCAAUAAAUAUGGGGUAUAUAAACACAAUGAAAUGAGUUCCCCAAAAUCUAAAAUGGGAAUUAAGGUACCAAAGGAGAAUUAAAAGAAAAGGGUACCUACAAGAAAAAAUUGCUUUUUUAUUCCUCUUGAAAUGAUUUAUAAGACACUGGACUGUCUUAUAUUCUACAAAUACUAGAAUCAGCUGAGAGAAGUGGUCUACAAAAACCCAGGAAGGAAACGGAAUAUGUGGCUACGAAAGGCAAAAGAAAGGUUUACAAAGCAAAUGUGACACAUUUUUUUGAAAUAUUUAGGAAUAUCAGUAAAUUGCAUUAAAAAAAUGUAUGAAAAGAUUUUGUUCAAUAAAAAUGUUUAUAUUUA